rnacentral:rRNA from 1 species
GAUGAACGCUAGCGACAGGCCUAACACAUGCAAGUCGAGGGGCAGCAUGAAAGUAGCUUGCUACUUUUGAUGGCGACCGGCGCACGGGUGCGUAACAGGUGUGCAAUCUGUCCAUAAUCGGGGAAUAGCCCAGCGAAAGUUGGAUUAAUGCUCCAUGUGAGUUUUAGAGGCAUCUCUUUAACUUGAAAUGUAAGGAAUAUGGGUGAGCACGCUUCUGAUUAGGUAGUUGGUGAGGUAACGGCUCACCAAGCCGACGAUCAGUAGGGGUUCUGAGAGGAAGGUCCCCCACAUUGGAACUGAGACACGGUCCAAACUCCUACGGGAGGCAGCAGUGAGGAAUAUUGGUCAAUGGACGCAAGUCUGAACCAGCCAAGUCGCGUGAAGGAUGAAGGUUCUAUGGAUUGUAAACUUCUUUUGUCUGAGGGUAAAAAAGCGGACGUGUCCGUUCUUGCAAGUAUCAGACGAAUAAGCAUCGGCUAAUUCCGUGCCAGCAGCCGCGGUAAAAC